rnacentral:rRNA from 1 species
CACGUAGGCGGAUUGCUAAGUCAGGGGUGAAAUCCUGGAGCUCAACUCCAGAACUGCCCUUGAUACUGGCGAUCUUGAGUCCGGGAGAGGUGAGUGGAACUGCGAGUGUAGAGGUGAAAUUCGUAGAUAUUCGCAAGAACACCAGUGGCGAAGGCGGCUCACUGGCCCGGUACUGACGCUGAGGUGCGAAAGCGUGGGGAGCAAACA